rnacentral:rRNA from 1 species
CCUACGGGUGGCAGCAGUGAGGAAUAUUGGUCAAUGGACGAGAGUCUGAACCAGCCAAGUAGCGUGAAGGAUGACUGCCCUAUGGGUUGUAAACUUCUUUUAUAAAGGAAUAAAACGAGGCACGUGUCCCUUUUUGCAUGUACUUUAUGAAUAAGGAUCGGCUAACUCCGUGCCAGCAGCCGCGGUAAUACGGAGGAUCCGAGCGUUAUCCGGAUUUAUUGGGUUGAAAGGGAGCGUAGAUGGGUUGUUAAGUCAGUUGUGAAAGGUUGCGGCUCAACCGUAAAAUUGCAAUGGAUACUGGCAGUCUUGAGUACAGUUGAGGUAAGCGGAAGUCGUGGUGGAGCGGUGAAAUGCUUAGAGAUCACGAAGAACCCCGAUUGCGAAGGCAGCUUACUAAACUGUGACUGACAUUGAUGCUCGAAAGUGUGGGUAUCAAACAGGAUUAGAUACCCCUGUAGUC